ensembl:lncRNA
GGGAGGGGGGGAGGUGUCCCUAAGCCAUUUUGUAACCUGAGUCUGGCCACAAUGCUUGCCCUCCAAAGGGCCUCAGUAAUAAUGAUCUUAACGGAAGUAAGGGAAUGCAGGAACAAAGGAAAAUGUCAAGGAACAAUAGUUCAGCAAUACAACAGAGUCCCAGUUCCUCUUCCUCAAGGGCUAUACAUAGUAAUCUGCUACCCAAGUGGAGGAUGGGAUAAUGAUGUUGACCCUCCCGACUUCAGUCAGCUAAGGCUUGCACUCUGUCAGCUUUGCCCCAAUUCUUGCUAAAUUCUCCUCUGUUCAAGCCCCUUCAUGAACAUGUAUGUAUCCUUAGCUUAAAACUUCCCCAACUUUGCCCUUCAGGGAGACACUGCUUUGGGAAAGAUUCUCAGUGUUCUCCUCACUUGCUGCAAGCAAUAAACCCUUCCUUCUCAUGAUCUGUGUCUCGGUUGUGUAUUUUGGCUCAACACCUACCAAGAGGUGAGCCCAGUGUUCAGGUAACACAUCCACCACUGAGUUUACCGAUAGGAAACCUGUUUCCUUUCUUGCCACCCAAAAUAAACCUUUAUUUCACCUGAAGUAACCCUGAUAGUCCAUACUGGUCAGUUCUAGGACUUGACUAUCGUCCAGUAUGCAUAACCCAUGCUUGGUAAAUAUUGCUUGAUGAACUGAGGACAAAAAAAGAAUCAUCAAUGUUAAAGUAGUUGGAAUUUCCAAGGGUGGUUAAAAAGGUUGAGGUAAAUGUAUUUUAAACUAAAUGCAGGCAGUUUAUAGUUGGGAUUUGUGUUGGCUAGUUGAGGGAAAAGUCUCAUGUAAAAAUACUCUAUGGCUCAGUUCAUUAUAUCAUCACUUUGAAAGAAACGAGGAGAGAGCUGGGGCUGAAAGGGGAAGUGAGAGGACAGUGCUGACCAAUUUCCCUGAGCCACCAGUCUGCCCAAACCACGGUUUGACCACAGUGGCCAUUUCUCUCCUAGAUGACCCCUCACCAGGCCAGCUGCCCCUUCUGUCCUGCCUUGAUUCUGCCCCUACCUCUUGGACUCUCCUAACAUGGGGCUGGUCCCAUUUAUGUGUUUAUAAGAGGGAACUUGACCUGGAUGUCUAUGGCGCCAGAUGCCUAUGGCUCCCUCAAGCCUAAGGGUCAGGCCCAAAGUGACCCAGGCAGUGACUACCUCAGAAGCUCCACGCAGGGCUGGUCCAAACCAACCCCAGAGAAACUCACUCUUCCAAAGCUAUGGUUCUCUAUGUCUGGUAGCUCAUUGACACCCCAACCUACUCUAUGAAGUCAGUUCUAUUAUUGAGGCCAUUUUUCAUUUGAGGACACAAGCUUAAUCGGGUUAAUUCAGUUGUCCCAGAUCACAGUUCCUCAGAGGAAGCUCUGGGAUUCACACCCAAGUGUGACUGAGGAGCCAGACUCCAGCCAGGGUACUGUUUAUUAUUCACUGUUUUCUAUGAAAUUUAGAAAAGGAAAAGGAAGAGAAUAAAAAUCGUUUGUGACUCCAGCCACAGAGAGAACUGUUUUCCUUCCUACUGGCUACUCUAGUAAACCUCACCUUUACGUGGAGGUAAUGUCAGCUUUCCGGGCAGGCUGCUAUGGGAAACGGCCUCUUUUCUUCCCUGUUAGUGGCAUAUCUCGAGACUACCCUUUGAAAAUCUCUUGGUAAAGUCUAUACCCCUGCCCCCUCCAGGGAACCUCUGCAGGCCCAUGCCAGCUGCUGACCAGACUAGAAGUCAGAGCCUCUCUCUCUCUCCCUUCGCACCCCAGGGUCCUAUUUCUGCAGAGACCUAGAGACCUGCCCUCUCUUAUGCAAGGCCUGGCUAACAUAAUCAUCUCAGGUAAUAGACGCUGAAGCUUUUGUAGGCUAUUCCUCGCAGGUGACAUGUUCCUAAGUAGACAGGAAUUUUUGAGAGAAACUAUUUUUUAGCCUAAAGUUCAGUGUAGAAAUACAUUAAGCUCACUCAGGUUUGGUGUUCUCUUAAAGCACACCAUUCCUACUUUAUCAGUGGGAGAAAUGUUUUCAGAGUGGGACCUCUGGCUCUGGGUUGUGAUGGGAAGGUGGUGAGGGGGUGGCUGGGCGGUGAAGGGGAAGUUUCAGUUUCAACACAAAAAGUCUUAAGAAGCCGCUGAGGACUCUGGUGAGGUCAGUUCAUCUUGGAGGUUGUUCUUUCUUGCCUAAAAGCCAAGGCUGACUACAAAACUCCUUUCACCCCCAGAGCACAGAAAGACAGAAAGCAGAGUGCCAAGACCUGAAAAUGGAGCAGACAGUGAGAAAGGUCUCGGACAGCCCUCUCAGACACAAUAGUUCCUUUUUAUAAGAUACAUUUAACUCAGUGGUAACAAACUUGGCUAGUAUCCAUGAGGACAAGGGUUUGAUCCCUGACCUCGCUCAAUGGGUUAAGGAUCCAGCAUUGCUGUGAGCUGUGGUAUAGGUCGCAGACGUGGCUUGGAUUUGGUGUGGCUGUGGCUGUGGCUACAGCGUAGACUGACAGCUAUAACUCCAAUUUAACCCCUAGCCUGGGAACUUCCAUAUGCCACUAAUGUGGCCUUAAAAAGACAAAAAAAGAAAAAGAAAUAUUCAAUAAUAUUCCUUUCCUGUCUAGAAAUGAAAUUCUUAGAUAAUAUAACCUGCCUACACACAUACUUUUAAAAAUCAAUAUAAUGUCCUACCUAUAAUAUACAGAAAAAAAAAGUAAUACAUACUCAAAUAAAAUAUAUUGAAAUACAUGAAUACUGACGUGCAGUACACUAGGAAACAUAGCAAAAAGCCAGAUGCUUGAACUUAAAAUCACUGUGAAUGCAACAGCUAUGAAUAUAAAUGGUUAUAAUGGUAGUUAAAUUGUGGUAUAAUCAAUAUAUUGUGGUUAAAUUGGUGACUCAAUAGCAUGAGAAAUAUCCCUGUCAGAAACAUGUGUUUCCAAAUUAUGACAAUUUUUGGUAAAAACAAACUAUCACCUUCCCUUGAUUCAUAGUUACACUCUAGCUCAGAAAAUUGUCACUGGGAUUUUUAACUACACAAAUGUCUAGAGUUAUUUUCCAAAGUAAUAUGAGACCCCCAACAGCUUCUGUUAUGGGGGAUGACUGCGCAUUUGAGGAAGUGUAGUGUCCUUAGUCCUCUCCCUAAAAAUGUCAGCUGUACCCUCCAGUCAUCAUGACGAACAAAAAAGCCUCCAUAAAUUUCCAGAAUACUCCAGCAGUAUUACCCUCUUGGAGAAUCAAUGUCUGGGGAAAUAAUUUGCAGGAUGAUCACAAGCCCUAAUGGCACAAAUAUUAUAGUAGCAUGAUAGAAAGUGAGAGCUAAAUACUGGUCAAUAACAAGGGCAUAGGUUAGUGACAUGUUUCCCAAGAAGGUAAAAAUAUGCUUGCCCUCGGAGCAAACAAUAAAAUCAGCACAGUAGGAUGCAAUUUGGGGAUCUGCUAAAUCAUCUUAAAGAGCUCUCUACAACUGGAGAUUUAAUGCUAACCUAACUGAAAGUGGUCAUAGAUCCAAACAAGAACUUUAGGUAAAUUUGAUGAAAAUCAAUUGGUCAAAGAUGAAUUUACCAAAAGCCUAUGUGUUGAAAAAUAAUUUGCUGAAUAAUUAAUUCACCCAAACUGCCAAAUGUUGCAUGUUAAGCCAGAUCUAGAACAGCUCACCAUGGCAAUUUCACUACAAGCCAGUUUGCUAUAGCUGUGUCGAUGAGGCUGGCUAGUUCCUAGGGUAUUUGGCACUUUGUGUCAUUAAGUAAUGAGAGGAUCUUGUGUAUUUCAAAUUUCAUGCACUGUGCAUGAAUCCAAUGUUGAGGAAUUUCUAAAUAAUAAGGUAGGUUUCUCUCUGCAAAUACAUUUAGCCCACUUCCUCUCCUAUUACUCUUAAUCACAACUUUGUGAAUAAGCCCAAUCAAAUAAAUCUUCUGUGCAUGUUUCAAGUUUCAGACUCCUUUCACCUUAAUAUCAUAUAUGUGAAAAAAUGGUUUGCCCUUUAAACACAGUUUUAUACCAAUUUGCCCUUCCCUAUUUAUGCUGACUUUAUCAGUCUUUUGAACAAAGCUUUUUGCCUGCUGGUUAAUUUUACAUAUCCAUGACAAAUGUGGAAACUGGCAAAAUUGUUUUCAUGAAAUGAGGUCUAUGUACAAAUUUAGGUAUGCAGUCUAUAAAAUCCAAGUUAGGCAUAAAGCCUCAAAACUAGAGAAAGCAACAAUCUGUUUGAAGAGUGACCUCCUCCAUUAACAUAUAAAUUGUACAUUAGAGAAGUACAGGAGAUAAAAGGUGAAAAACAUAAAGCAGAUGUUCAGCUGGGCUGGUCUGACAAAUUCUUUGUGAAAAGACUGAGGCGUAGCAGUUCCUAUGAGCCACACUGAAGAAAAACUGAAAAUAAAAUCUUCAGAGAGUAUUGAAGCAAUAUCAGACAAGGAAUCUGUUAAAAAAAAAAAACAAAAAAACAAAAACAAACAAACAAACAAACAAAACUCCAUAAGUAGUUAAUAGAAGCAAGAUUGAUGAAACAAGAAUUUGGUAAGUUAGUCAUUCAGCAUAUCGACGAUCUAGAACAUUUCUUUUGAGCAAACAAAUAUUGCCUUUUGGAAAGUUGGUUUGCUUGCCUCAAAAAGUGAUGUAAUAGGAGGUAGGGGAGUUGAAAAUAAAAGAGUGACAGAAGCAAGCAUGCAGAGGGCCCAUCUUAACAUAGCCCAUUAACGAUGAUGUCCCAUUCUCAAUUCUAGCCUGCGCAUUUAUCCCCGCUGUGGAGACAGACACCUCAGGCUACUCAGCCUGCUGCCAGGAACAGGUGAAUCACAUAACCAGUUCUUCCUGGCUCCACACUCACACGAAUGCUCCUGAUUAUAAAUGAGCAUCCCCAGUAGUUUUCCUUCAGAGAGAGGAUUUGUGGCCAAGGGUCAGGAACACCUAGUCACCUUGGUGGAUAUAAAUCUAAAUGCAUAUUAAUAAAUGGGCAUCUUUGUUUUUAUACCUGUAUUUUAUGAGCUUUGUAAGUGGGGGGUCAACGCCACAGAGUCUGAUCACCCCCAAGACCCCAGCAAGAUCAAUUUUUCAAAAUGUCUGUGAAUAAUGGCCAGGUCUCUUCUGAAUUCAUCAGGUUGGCUCUGCAGGUUUAUUUUGUGUUUCUACAAUCUUUAAAAACAUAGUUGAGGAGUUCCCGUUGUGGCUCAGUGGGUAAUGAAUCUGACUAGGAACUAUGAGGUUGUGGGUUUGAUCCCUGGCCUUGCUCAGUGGGUUAAGGAUCUGGCGUUGUAGUGAGCUGUGGUGUAGGUCUCAGAUGUGGCUCAGAUCUGGCGUUGCUGUGGCUCUGGCGGGCAUAGGCCAGCAGCUACAGCUCCAAUUGGACCCCUAGCCUGGGAAUUUCCCUGUGCCGCGAGUGAGGCCCUAAAAAUACAAAAAAAAAAA